GAAGAUUUAGUUAAAUUAAUAACAUUAGAAUGUCAUCCUAAAAUUGUUGAAAACAAUCUUUU
rnacentral:tRNA from 1 species